rnacentral:rRNA from 1 species
UGCUUAACACAUGCAAGUCGAACGAACCUUCGGGUUAGUGGCGGACGGGUGAGUAACGCGUGAGAAUCUGCCCUCAGGAGGGGGAUAACGGUUGGAAACGACCGCUAAUACCCCAUAUGCCUAUUGGUGAAAUGAAUUUCGCCUGAGGAUGAGCUCGCGUCUGAUUAGCUAGUUGGUGAGGUAAUGGCUCACCAAGGCUUCGAUCAGUAGCUGGUCUGAGAGGAUGAUCAGCCACACUGGGACUGAGACACGGCCCAGACUCCUACGGGAGGCAGCAGUGGGGAAUUUUCCGCAAUGGGCGAAAGCCUGACGGAGCAACGCCGCGUGAGGGACGAAGGCCUCUGGGCUGUAAACCUCUUUUCUCAAGGAAGAAGAUAUGACGGUACUGAGGAAUAAGCCACGGC